rnacentral:piRNA from 1 species
UGAAUUCCAUUCUUUUGGUUGACAAAC